CCUACGGGUGGCAGCAGUGGGGAAUAUUGGGCAAUGGGCGCAAGCCUGACCCAGCAACGCCGCGUGAAGGAAGAAGGCUUUCGGGUUGUAAACUUCUUUUGUCAGGGAAGAGUAGAAGACGGUACCUGACGAAUAAGCCACGGCUAACUACGUGCCAGCAGCCGCGGUAAUACGUAGGUGGCAAGCGUUGUCCGGAUUUACUGGGUGUAAAGGGCGUGUAGCCGGGUUGACAAGUCAGAUGUGAAAUCCUGCGGCUUAACCGCAGAACUGCAUUUGAAACGGUUGAGCUUGAGUACUGGAGAGGCAGGCGGAAUGCCUGGGGUAGCGGGGAAAUGCGUAGAUAUGAGGCGGAACACAAGUGGCGAAGGCGGUCGGCUGGACGGAAACUGACGGUGAGGCGCGAAAGCGUGGGGAGCAAACAGGAUUAGAUACCCUAGGAGUC
rnacentral:rRNA from 1 species